CAGCAGCCGCGGGAAUACGUAGGGUGCAAGCGUUAAUCGGAAUUACUGGGCGUAAAGCGUGCGCAGGCGGUUUUGCAAGUCUGUCGUGAAAUCCCCGGGCUCAACCUGGGAAUGGCGAUGGAGACUGCAAGGCUAGAAUCUGGCAGAGGGGGGUAGAAUUCCACGUGUAGCAGUGAAAUGCGUAGAUAUGUGGAGGAACACCGAUGGCGAAGGCAGCCCCCUGGGCUAAGAUUGACGCUCAUGCACGAAAGCGUGGGGAGCAAACAGGAUUAGAUACCCGCGUAGUCCCUGUCUCUUAUAC
rnacentral:rRNA from 1 species